CUUUAGCCAAAAAGAAACAAACCAAAUGUCCAUCAAUUGAUGACACCUGUAACAGGCUCUGUUUGACACCUUCAGUAGCCCAGCUAUGUGUACUGCUAUUCCAGCCAUGCUGUUCCUGUAAUGCUUCUGGUCAUAUACUGCUGGUAGACUUAGAUGAUUGUGGCACCCACACAAUGCCCUUCUAUGACAGUUACACCUGCCCUAUGUCAUGCUAUUUCUCGACUCUGCUAGCUGAGACUUGGAAGAGUAUUCCUAAGGACUGUGAGAAGAAGAGAUUACAGUUUCAUUAUCACAGCAGAGAAGAAAUUGUACAUGAUGCUAAGGAGAAGUGGUACUGCUCUGUCCUGGAUGUCAAACAGGAGCUACCAUUGCUUACCAUCUACCCUGGAGAAGACCACUAAGCUCCCUCACAGUCAGUUGAUCACCUCUGUCAAGGAGAGAGUCAUAGACCCAGAAGUUCUUUUCAGCCAUCCUCCUCAGGUAUGAAAGCAGUGGCACUCAAGAUAGCACUUCCAUGUCACCCAUGAGAUGUGAUGCUUAUAUUAGAAAAGAUCUAUAUGCCAACACAACACAUCCCAUCUGGUCUGGUAGUACUACCAUGUGUCCUGCUAUUACUGGCUUUAGAACACAGACAGAUGUCACAGCCUUGGGAAAAAAAAACACAAUAAAAAUUAAGAUUUCCCUUCUUCUGAGUGCACAUACUGUGGCUAGCGACUGUCUUGACCUUCCAGCAGAUGUGGAAUAGCAAGCAAGAGUCUGAUGAGUUUGACCUGCCCAUUGCCCAC
rnacentral:lncRNA from 1 species